rnacentral:tRNA from 1 species
GCCGGCGUGGCGCAAUUGGUUAGCGCGUCAGACUUUUAAUCUGAAUGUCGUGAGUCGCGGUCA